UGGGCGAAGCUGAUUAGUUUCAGUUGGUCUGGGCGAAGUUGAUUAGUUCCAGUUGGUGUCGUCCAAGUCGAUUGGAACUAAUGAGCUUCCCAAAACUA